UCCGUUACAAAACAAUUAUUAGGAAUUUAGGUGUUUCAUUCCUCCCCGCAGUUGGUCAGAUUUACAGUUUUAACUCGACUUCUUCUCCCUUCUAUUUUCAAGCGUUACACAAUGAAAGCUCCCAUCACCAGCAACAUAGUUUCUGCUAAUCGAUUUCCCAUUAUACGUUACGAAUAAAAAAGAUCCCCAUUAACGGCUCCAUUAAGUCUGCUAAUCGAUCCCUGAAGCUCCCACUACAUAAACCUCAAAGGAGGGAAGAGGUUAUCUUCCAAAGAUUUUUGUUGGUAGAGGACAUUUCUUAAAAACCAGUAUCCAUCUCAGGUUGGUUCAGCUUUUAGGGGGUAACUAGAAAGUGUCAUUACAGCCGGAAAGCAUGGAACAAACACAAUGGUUUAUCUGAAGAGGAUCAAUAAAGAAGAAGGAUUCCGUUCCACAGCCACCGACUCACUGUAAAUCAUUGGUGAGUUCCUUUCUCUCGGCUGGUGACAUUCCUCGACAUAGUUUCACUAAUACAGAUUUUCUUUUAAUUUGCGCUUACAUGUAAGCAUAUUCCUAAAAUUCUAUUACAGAUUGGUCUGAUGGGUUGCAGUUUACUCUGUGUUAUAUUUUAGGCUUCAUCCAGGUUGGUUGUCCUUUAUUUUUCGUAAUUGACUAUGAAAAAAGAAAAAAAUAACACUUCUGUUUUUGUUGCUUAAUUUCUUGAGGUUUUUUACCUGAAAUACCAACUGGGUGAUUGCUUAUAUACCAAUUUGUUUCGUCUUGCUUGACACGGGUGAUCUUUGUAGCCACUGGCAUCUGAGACCCCUGAUAUGCUUAAAAGUUAUAAUUAACCCAUAGCUCAUCAUAUUGCCUGUACUUCUAUCUUGGAUAUAAUGUUGCGUCUCUAAGUAUGCUUGUAAGCCGAAGUACCUCACCAUUAGGCAUUCAGAGUGGAGGGAACUGAAAGACCAUCAACAAGCGUCUCAUGUCAAAGGGACCCAAUGUACCAUGCAUUGGGGCAAUCAAUGAGUAUCUAGGAGUCGAGUUGAGGACUCCUGCCUUAACAAUAUUAUUAGUUGUCCUUCAAAUAUUUUGAUUCUGCCAUUUUUCUAAGGUUAGGAACAAAGACAUAAGUUUUUUUUGCAGGUCCAAGGAGUAUUAGUGGUCGUUCAAAAUGUUGAGUAGAUAAUGUUUAAGACUCACAAACUACUUGCAUUGUGUCGAUUAUGUUUGCGGAGUAAAAAAUAUCAUGAAACGGCAGGAAACUAACUUUUGGGAUCCUACAUGGAUUUGAUUAUUCUUAUAAGAUCAACUUUACCCAAGUGGGUCUCUUUGGUAGGCAUGGGAAUCUUCUUUGUUUUGGCAUAUUUGGAUCCAGACGUUCCAACAUUUUCUUCUUUCAACUUGGCUCUGUUUAUUGGUGUGACUAUUUGCAAAACAUCUAAAGCAGGGAAACCGCUGAACAAUGAUAAGUAGUGAGAAAAUAGUUCAGAGUAUUAAUUAACAAUGCCAUGGUGAAGGAAUAAGUUAUCUGGCUAAUCGAGUAACUGGAAUUGCCCCAUUAUAGCAUACAACCACGUAACACUGAAUAUUGUUACUUUGAUGUUACUUCAAAUGUCUUUGGAUUUUUUUGGCUACACUUUUGAGCGCUUAGUUUUUAUCUUUGUUAUAGUGUUUCGGAUAAUCGGUUAAUUAUAAAUGGACGUGAUCGAUGUUGAGCCACCAUAAAAUAUACAAGGGGCAACUUUUGACCA